rnacentral:rRNA from 1 species
GACGAACGCUGGCGGCGUGCUUAACACAUGCAAGUCGAACGGAAAGGCCCUGCUUUUGUGGGGUGCUCGAGUGGCGAACGGGUGAGUAACACGUGAGUAACCUGCCCUUGACUUUGGGAUAACUUCAGGAAACUGGGGCUAAUACCGGAUAGGAGCUCCUGCUGCAUGGUGGGGGUUGGAAAGUUUCGGCGGUUGGGGAUGGACUCGCGGCUUAUCAGCUUGUUGGUGGGGUAGUGGCUUACCAAGGCUUUGACGGGUAGCCGGCCUGAGAGGGUGACCGGCCAGAGUGGGAAUGAGAUAAGGAGGAGAGUCCGGAGGGAGGCAGCAGGGGGGGAGAGGGAAGAAGGGGUGGGAGGUGGAGGCAGCUAGGGGGUGUGAGGGAGGGGGGGCGGCGGAAUGGAGAACGGAAUCGCCGGAGACGAAGGGUGAGGCAGGGGAAAGGGUAAAGAAAAACACACGAAAUAGGUC